UACGUAGGGUGCGAGCGUUGUCCGGAAUUAUUGGGCGUAAAGGGCUCGUAGGCGGUUUGUCGCGUCGGGAGUGAAAACCUCGGGCUUAACUCGGGGCCUGCUUUCGAUACGGGCAGACUGGAGGUAUGCAGGGGAGAACGGAAUUCCUGGUGUAGCGGUGAAAUGCGCAGAUAUCAGGAGGAACACCGGUGGCGAAGGCGGUUCUCUGGGCAUGACCUGACGCUGAGGAGCGAAAGUGUGGGGAGCGAACAGG
rnacentral:rRNA from 1 species